GUAAUGGGUGAAGGUCAGGUUGGUUGUUGGUUUGUUGGUUGGUUGUUAAGUGCAAUAAUCCUGUACUAAGCUCAAAAUUGCACAGGGCUAGAAUCUUCAAGGUCUAGCGCAGUGCAUGGAACAUGGCAAAUGCUUGAUAAAUCUUUGUUAAACAACCAAAUGGAUGAUCUUUGUUUUUUAUUCCUUCAUUCAAAUGAUAUGUGCCAAUGGAAUCCAAACCCUUGUUUAUUGAGCACCUACUAAGAGGAAGGCUGGUGAGCCCGAGGGAGAAGCAUUUCUUCCUGGUAAUAGGCAGAUGUGCUCCGUGCCUGUUUCCAAACCCCCUUAACACUCAGGAUUCAUGAAAAACCUGCCAGCUGCUUACUGGAGGCAACUGUGACUCUGCCUCAUUAGAUAUCAGGGAAAUGAGAGAGAAAAGCCUAGACUCUGGGGUUCCACCAGAUAGCUUCAGCAAGAAAAACACAUUUCCAUCUGCAAAAUCCCUUGAGCUCAGAGAAGAUUCAAGAGAGCUGAAUCUGGGAUUUUGGAGGCUCUUGGAAAAUCCCACCGAUUCUCUUGACUGAGGCAUAACUGUGGGGAACAGAUUGCUGGUCUCUUGCUGGAAUGUGGAUAUCUGGAGCUCCAGGGCCCGUUAUUGCACUGUGAGGAUGAGGAUCCCAUAGCACAGAUGAUGAGAAGACCUGGGUCUCCGGUUACCAUGCAAUUUAUCCCUAAAUGAUCACCCAAUUCAUCCAAGUCAGCCCUAAAUUACCUGCCUCUGGACUUGUCUUAUUUAAACCUCUCCUUCUCAGGCAAUGAGAAGUCUAUGAUAAAUCCAUUUGAAAAAUUCCUGCAUGUCCUUUUCUGAUUUCUGCUAUACAUGUUUCUUCUCUGUCAAGCAAGGCACCAGGAGGCCACAGAAAUAAAUGGUCUGAAUCCACAGGGAAAGAAAUUUCUAAAGCAAAAGGUAUCGAUGGGCUUGUUAGCUUGAAAGGAAUAAAGGGCUGACCUUUCAAAA